rnacentral:lncRNA from 1 species
UACCUCCCUUCCUCCUCUUCUUCUGAUUUUCUUCUUCUUCUUCUUCUUUGUGGAAGAUCCACGCGUGGCUUCUUCUCGAUUUUUCAUCCCUUUCGUUAACCAUCUCUCUCCCUCUCUCACGCAAGUCGGGAACGACGAGACUUUUCGUCAACGACAUGCCUGAAAUCUCCAUCUUUCUCUUCUUCAGUCAACGCCACCACCCAACACCCUUUGCACCGCUGAACUCAUCGAUGAAUCUCAGCCACCACAUGCGGUAGCUCGCUGGAGAUCAAGCACAUCGUGGUCUGUCUCCAUUCUUUGUUUAGAUUCAACUUCUAGAGUUUUUAUUUUCACUCCCAUUUUCUUUUCAUUUCUCUUCAAAUGCUUACAUUUUACCCACAAUAUGAAAGUAUUCAAUCAAAGUUUCAUUAUUUCUAUUGUUGGUAUUUGUACGAUAUAUUAACUUCAAAUACUUUCAGUUUACCCACAAUGUGAUAUAUUGAUGGUUCAUUUUAUGAAAAACAUCCUUCAUAGUUUUGCUUUUAUAGAAGAUAUGUGUUUGUUUUGUCUACCAUCCUAUUCAAUAUUGUUGUUUACGAUCAUUUUGUCUAAUGUGAAUCUACAUUUUUUCUUUAUGGUUGGCUAUGUGAUGAAGCAUUUUGGUAGCUUACAAUUUGUUUGAUGAAAUGCCUCAAUGAAGCAUUUGAUUGAUUUUUAAUUGAUUUUUGUUCGUUCGAAUUAGAAAAUCAAGGCCAAGGGAGAUUUCAUGGCUAUGGGCUGAAGCUUUGAGAAAAAAAGAAUGAAAAAUGAAAUGUGAGAUUUUAAAUUUUGAUAAUGUGUAGGGUCUUUUUGUUUGUCUAUGCAUUUUCCAAGUGAAUUUGAGAAUUUUUAUUUUUCUAUUGAUCUUUUGUUUAUGGUUGCUAUUGAGUCGUAUUGUAAUUGCAUGAUAGUUAUAGCAUAAACAAACUAUAUAUAUAAACUUGAACACAAGUACUUGUUAUCUAACUCAUUACUAAAUCAUUGUAAUUUGGUUAGUCUUGAUUUACUAAUGAUUGAAGAUUAAAAAAAGCUAUGAACGUUUUUACUAUGAGCAAGAAAUAAACUCUUUACGUGGGAAUAGCCAUGUUACCACUCCUCAGGUAUCCAGUUUAUGUUACCACUACUCUUGAUUCAACUUCUUUAUGUUGUAUUGAGUAUCAUAUUGCAUUGACAUCAUAUGAUUUUUCUUCUUUUUUAAUAUUCAGAAUUGACAUUCUUGUUUAUGAUUCACUUCACUGAUAUAUGCAGUUCUAUUCGGCUUCAUUUGUAGGAGAUAUGUGUGAAGUAGUUGCGCAUGUUACUGAAAGAUAUCCCAAGGCUAAUGUGUAUGUUGUUGGCUGGUCACUUGGUAACAUUCUUGUUAGUUAUUUGAGAUAGGUAAAAGUAAAACAAUACAUAUUAAUCUCCAUCACUCUUUACGCUACUUAUUGGUUGCCAUUUUGUUUAAACCUCAUGAGUCUCAUGGAACGAUUGAAAUUGGAGUAUUUAAUUCAAAUUUGCGAGAAAAAGUCAUUUGGAAUAAUGUUUGUCUUCACGUGACAAUGAAGAAAAAAUUUAAGUUCGUGGAAUUAUGUUUGAAUGAACAAUAUUAUCAUUUUGGGGAUUCAACGUAACAGAAGUUCAACAACACAUAAGACACUUCAAGAUUUGUGUGAAUAAACUUGAAACAAAGAAAGUUAUUCUUUUAAAGAUUACAUCGUUGAAUAAUAUAUUUGGUGAUAAUACAAAGUUCAUUGUAUAAGAGUUUGGUGAUCAGGGGACUCUGUUUUUGUUUUUUUUUUUUUUUUUUCUAAUUCAACAAGUGGGGUAUGGGAAUUCAAACCGACCUCCAGGGAGGUAAUAUAUGCUUUAUUCACUGAUAUGCCUAGUGAAUUCAAUAUUCGCUUGGCUGCCAAAGCUACAACUGUUAGAGACUAUGAUGAUGUCUUAACUCGCAAUAUAGGUUCUCUUAAAUUUUGUUAUUUUCAUUCGAAGAACAUUAUCAUAUAUGCCAUUUCUUCUCCUUUAAACUUUUAUUACCUUUAUCUUAUUAUUAUUAUUAUUAUUAUUUUUGAACAACUUUCAGUUUCAUUUGGUUUUAACUUUGUGGAUGGAUACUACUCAAAGUCUAGGGGUUCAAAAUUCAUAAAAGAUGUCAAAAUUCCUUUGCUUUGCAUCCAGGUACCAUUUUUGUUCUUUGAAAUGUUGUCUUGUUCAAUUGUUCUUUUAGAACUCAAAGUUGCUGUCAAAUCUUUUUAAGUUAUCAUCUGUAAGGAAAUAAUAUAUUGUAAUUACUUUUGAAAAUAGUUUCCAAACAACUCUUAAACUCUCUCUUUUCCUUUAACCUCUUGUUAAUUGAUUUGGUUAAUUGAUUUGGAGAACUUACAGAAUGUCUAGGGAAAUUGUAGCUACGAGCAGUGUUCUCUCACAUAUAUCUUUGGGCAUUCUAUACAAUAUUGUUCUUGUAAUGCUAAGGGGCAUUUAAUUUGGUUUUCAGGCAGCAAAUGAUCUAAUUGCUCUAAAUAGAGGAAUUCCGUGAGAAGAUAUAGAGGUUUCACACAUGUUUAUCUUCAAGUUUUAUAAGUUAUCAGUUUAAAAAUCUAUUGAAAAGUUUAAUGUCAUUUGAUAAGCAUUAAACUUUUCAUAUUUGAAAAUUAGAUUCAUAAACACUACUACGAUAUAUUGGUUUUUUUGUCUUGUUGUCUACUUUUUUAGAACCUAAGCCAUGUUUUAAAAACUAAGGCCCGUUUUAUUUUUUGUUUUUGAAAAUCAUGCUUAUAAGCAAUAUGUGUGCGAAGAUAAGUUCUUGGUUUAUUCUCCCUUUAACAGCCAUUUCAUUGUUAAGGUUGUUGAAAUUUGUGUAUUGUUUUUACAUAAUUUCUUCUAAUAAGUUUCAUUUUCCCAAAAAAAAAAAAAAAUCAAAGUUCUCAAUCAAAUUUUGAAAACAAAAAUAUGUUUCUAAAAAUAAUCUUCUCUUGUUUGUUUCUGAAACCUCUUGUUUGUUUUCGAAACCUUGCUCUAAGUAUGAAAAUAUUAUUGAAAGUUAGAUGGGAAAGCACAAAAACCUUAAGUGAACAAGUGUUUACCAUUACUUUUGUUUUUAGAGUUUGAUUAAAGAUUUAAAUAUGAUUCUACGUACACCUCUAUUGUUUAACGUGCACCUUUAUUGUGAUUAGUGAGCAUAUUUUUUAAACGUGAUUGUUGUUGCAGGAAAAUCCAAACUACUGUAUGUUAAUAGUAACACCCAAAGGUGGGCAUCUAGUGUGGGUUAUAGGGCCCAGUGCUCCCCUCGGUUUUCCAUGGACCGAUCCAUUCAUGAUCUAUUUCCUCAUGUAUUUGGAAAACUAAAAAUUCAAAGUCUCAGCUUCUUCUAUAGGUUUAACAACGCAGAGAUAAUGACAUAGCCAUUGAUGGUAAUGAUAAUCUAUGAGCAUACGAGUAGAAACAUAAAAAAUAGUCAUUACCUAUGUCCCUAGUAGUUGAUUUGUGAGAUGUUUAAACAUAAUGUCAUGUAUAUAGUUUAUUUAUAAGUGUAAAAUGCACAUCAUUCUUAAUCAAAGCUAUUUGUUUAUGUAUCUUUAUGAACCCUUUUAGGUAGUUUAUCUUGGAAAUAUUUUUUUUAUCAUAUUUAAAGAGAUCGUCGUAUUGAUUGUUCUUUGUAAUAUAUGUGAUUUUCUUCCCUCAAUCAAGUGUUCUUGAUGUUUUUGUUGUCUUAGGUGUAUUCGAUGUCUUAGCAUAUACUAGUAUAUAAAUUGUUUCUUUUUAAUCAUACUAGUAAAUAAACUCAAGUGCAUGGACAUUGGGUUUCAUUUUGUUAAGAAAAUGAGUGUUUCCAAAUCCAUCUUUUGAGUUUUGCAGUAGCCUCAUCUUAACAAUCCAUGCUUGUUUGGCUGUCACAUUGGUUUCCAUCUUUAUUCAAUAAUCAUUUGUACGUGUAUAAAACUUUGAAAUCUAGAUAACGUUUUGGAGAUGGUUUUGUUAGUAGAUGAUUGAUUCUGUUGGGGGUGGUUGAUGAUUUUUUUCUAUAUUCAUGUUGUACUCUCUUUAAGCGUGUUGUACUCUCUUGUCCUGUGAUGUAUGCUUAUAUUCAUGUUGUCUUUGUAGGUUCUAAUGGAGCUGACAAAGUUCAUGAAAUUUUCGUCAAAGAAGCUAAUCAGAGUCAUCAAAAUACACUGGUUGUUUUUAGAAAUGAAGGAUUUGACCAUGGUUCAAGCAACAAAGAAUAUUUUUAGAGGUGAAGGGUUACCGGUUGGUUGUUUAUGCUUGUAAAGAAAAUCAUGUUAUAUGUAUUAUGAUGGUAUUUACACUGGUUUUGAUUAAGAGUUGUAAUUCCAUACUUAUAAAUUGUUCAAACUUGAUUGAAAAUGUACGGAUAUUACAAAGUGUAUUAUAGCGUAUAUAUUUUAAAGUGUCGACCAUUUGUUUCUAUAUGGGUGUUAUGUAUUAUAACAUUAUUGUCAGUCAAAUGAUUCAUGUAAUGGUGGAGCGACAAGGAGAACAAGAAAAAACAGUAGUAAUUGA